rnacentral:sRNA from 1 species
GGAAGGAUCAUUACUGAAUUGUCAAACGGGCUGUUGCUGGUCCUCAAACGGGGACACGUGCACGCUCUGUUUACACAUCCACUCACACCUGUGCACCCUCUGUAGUUUUACGGUCUGGGGGACCCUGUCUCCCUUCCGUAGUUCUACGUCUUUACACACACACACUGUAAUAAAGUCUUAUGGAAUGUAUGCCGCGUCUAACGCAAUACAAUACAACUUUCAGCAACGGAUCUCUUGGCUCUCGCAUCGAUGAAGAACGCAGCGAAAUGCGAUAAGUAAUGUGAAUUGCAGAAUUCAGUGAAUCAUCGAAUCUUUGAACGCACCUUGCGCCCCUUGGACAUUCCGAGGGGCAUGCCUGUUUGAGUAUCAUGAACACCUCAACUCUCAUGGUUUGCCAUGACGAGCUUGGACCUUGGGGGUUUUGCUGGCCUGUGGUCGGCUCCUCUCAAAUGAAUCAGCCUCCCAGUGUUUGGUGGCAUCACGAGUGUGAUAACUAUCUACGCUCGCGGUUGUCCAUCAGGUAACCUUUGGUGACAAAGGUUCGCUGGAGCUCACAGACGUCUCUCCUCAGCGAGGACAGCUUUUUAACGUUCGAUCUCAAAUCAGGUAGGACUACCCGCUGAACUUAAGCAUAUCAAUAAGCGGAGGAAAAGAAACUAACAAGGAUUCCCCUAGUAACUGCGAGUGAAGCGGGAAGAGCUCAAAUUUAAAAUCUGGCGUGCCUCUGGUCGUCCGAGUUGUAGUCUAGAGAAGUGUUUUCCGUGUUGGACCGUGUAUAAGUCUCUUGGAACAGGGCGUCAUAGAGGGUGAGAAUCCCGUCUUUGACACGGACUACCAACGCUUUGUGAUGCGCUCUCAAAGAGUCGAGUUGUUUGGGAAUGCAGCUCAAAAUGGGUGGUAAAUUCCAUCUAAAGCUAAAUAUAGGCGAGAGACCGAUAGCGAACAAGUACCGUGAGGGAAA